UGUGUUGAGAGCACUGGUUGAGAGAGUACUGCAGUAGACAGCUGAGUCACGGAGACCAGCUCACAAGUCGUGACAUUUUUUUUUUACCAGUUCUAUGUAGGCUAUUUAUAUUGUUCACUAUGGAGACACAUAUUACCAACCCUUUUUAUUUAAAAUAUAUUAACGCGCUAGAACUGAUAUAAAGGCGACAAAGCACUGGAAAACGACAUUCAGCAUACUAGAGCGCUUUAAGAUACAUUUGCUCAGAGGUAGCUUAAUAAAGUAAACUGCAUUAUAAUGUCGAUUUGCCUAUUGAAAUAGCAAGUCAAUCACGCAAGUAGGCCAUUUAGAACGGGUUGUACUCUUAAGGAUCCGCCCCUUUUUUCAAUUUUCGCCUAAAAUUACAUCUGAAAUUACACCAAAAUCGGACUGCCUGUAGCUCAGACCCUGAAGCAAGGAGAUGCAUAUUCUUGGUACCAUUUAAGUUUGUGGAAAUGUAUAAGGAAUGAAGGACAAUAUAACACAAUAGAUAUGGUAAAAGAUAAUACAAAGAAAAAACCGACCGUUCUUUUGUAAUUUUUUGUACCAUCAUUUUGAAAUGCAAGCGAAAGGCCAUAAUGUAUUAUUCCAGCCCAGGUGCAAUUUAGAUUUUGCCCACUAGAUGACAGCAGUGUAUGUGCAAAGUUUUAGACUGAUGAAACAAUGAAACAUUGUAAUUCUGUAAAAAAAAAAUUAAAAAAGAAUCAAGACUGCCCGAAUGUGCCUAAUUUGUUUAUUAAUAACUUUUCCUGUUCACAAUUGUGCACUUUCCUCAAACAAUAGCAUGGUAUUCCUUCACCGUAAAAGCUACUGUAAAUUGGACAGUGCAGUUGGGUUAACAAGAAUUUAAGCUUUCUGCCAAUAUCAGAUAUGUCUAUGUCCUGGGAAAUGUUCUUGCUACUUACAAGUUAAUGCGAAUCACAUUAGGCUACGUUAGCUCAACCAUCCCGUGGAAGGGACACCGAUUCCGAAGAAGUAAAACAUUAACAUCUGGCACAUGAUAAUGGCACCAUUGCCAGAAUAACUUAGCAUUUAUUUUUGAAGUGUUUCUUGCACAGAGGUUCUCUGUCCAACUUUCAAAACAUGUAUUUUUACUGCUCUAAUUACAUUGGUAACCCAUUUACAAUAUCAAUAAGGCACCUCAGGAGUUUGUGGUAGGCCUAUAUAUAGUGCAUUCAGAAUAUUUUCAGACCUUGUCUUUUUCCAAAAUGUGUUACGUUACAGCCUUAUUCAAAAAUGUAUUUAAAAAAAAUCCCUUAUCAAUCUACACAUAAUAACCCAUAAUGACAAAGCAAAAACAGUUUUUUUGAAAUGUUUGUAAAUGUAUAUUUAAAAAAAAACUAAAAUAUUAUAUUUACAUAACUAUUCAGACCCUUUACUCAGUACUUUGUUGAAGCAUCUUUGACAGCGAUUACAGCCUUGAGUCUUCUUGAGUAUGACGCUACAAGCUUGGCACAUCUGUAUUUGGGGCGUUUCUCCUCUCUGUUCUCUCCUCUCUGUUCUCUGCAGAUCCUCUCAAGCUGAUGGGGAGCGUCACUGCACAACUAUUAUCAGGUCUCUCCAGAGAUAUUCGAUUGGGUUCAAUUCCGGGCUCUGGUUGAGCCACUCAAGGACAUUCAGAGACUACUCCAGAAGCCACUCCUGCAUUGUCUUGGUCGUUGUCCUGUUGGAAGGUGAACCUUCGUCCCAGUCUGUGGUCCUGAGCGCUCUGGAGAAGGUUUUCAUCAAGGAUCUCUCUGUACUUUGCUCUGUUCAUCCUUCCCUCGAUCCUGACUAGUCUCUCAGUCCCUGGCGCUGAAAAACAUAUCCACAGCAUGAUGCUCCCACCACCAUGCUGCACCGUAGGGAUGGAGCUAGGUUUCCUCCAGAUGUGCCGCUUGGCAUUCAGGCCAAAGAGUUCAAUCUUGGUUUUAUCAGAUCAGAUCAUCUUGUUUCUUAUGGUCUGAGUCCUUUAGGUGCUGUCGCGCUUUUACUGAGGAGUGGCUUCCAACUGGCCAUUCUACCAUAAAGGCCUGAUUGGUGGAGUGCUGCAGAGUUGGUUGUGCUUCUGGAAGUUUCUACCAUCUCCACAGAGGAACUCUGGAGCUCUGUCAGAGUGACCAUCGGGCUCUUGGUCACCUCCCUGAGUAAGGCCCUUCUCCCCCGAUUGCUCAGUUUUGCCAGGCGGCCAGCUCUAGGAAGAGUCUUGGAGGUUCCAACCUUCUUCCAUUUAAGUGUGAUGGAGGCCAGUGUGUUCUUGGGGACCUUCAAUGCUGCAGACAUUUUUUGCUACCCUUCCCGAGAUCUGUGCCUCGACACAAUCCUGUCUUGGGGCUCAAUUUCUUCGACUCGUGGCUUGGUUUUUGCUUUGUAACGUAGCAAAAUGUGGGAAAAGGGAAGGGGUCUGAAUACUUUCUGAAUGCACUGUACCACGGCUAAGGGCUGUGUCCUUGUUUCAGACAUAAGGAAGUGGAUGGCUGCAAACUUUCUACUUUUAAACUCGGACAAAACAGAGAUGCUUGUUCUAGGUCCCAAUAAACAAAGAGAUCUUCUGUUGAAUCUGACAAUUAAUCUUAAUGGUUGUACAGUCGUCUCAAAUAAAACUGUAAAGGACCUCGGCGUUACUCUGGACCCUGAUCUCGCUUUUGAAGAACAUAUCAAGACCAUUUCAAGGACAGCUUUUUACCAUCUACGUAACAUUGCAAAAAUCAGAAACUUUCUGUCCAAAAAUGAUGCAGAAAAAUUAAUCCAUGCUUUUGUCACUACUAGGUUAGACUAUUGCAAUGCUCUACUUUCCGGCUACCCGGAUAAAUCACUAAAUAAACUUCAGUUGGUGCUAAAUACGGCUGCUAGAAUCCUGACUAGAACCAAAUAAUUUGAUCAUAUUACUCCAGUGCUAGCCUCUCUACACUGGCUUCCUCUCAAAGCAAGGGCUGAUUUCAAGGUUUUACUGCUAACCUACAAAGCAUUACAUGGGCUUGCUCCUACCUAUCUCUCUGAUUUGGUCCUGCUGUACAUACCUAAACGUACGCUAAGGUCACAAGACGCAGGCCUCCUAAUUGUCCCUAGACUUUCUAAGCAAAUAGCUGGAGGCAGGGCUUUCUCCUUUAGAGCUCCAUUUUUAUGGAACGGUCUGCCUACCCAUGUCAGAGACGCAAACUCGGUCUCAACCUUUAGGUCUUUACUGAAGACUCAUCUCUUCAGUGGGUCAUAUGAUUGAGUGUAGUCUGGCCCAGGAGUGGGAAGGUGAACGGAAAGGCUCUGGAGCAACGAACCGCCCUUGCUGUCUCUGCCUGGCCGGUUCCCCUCUUUCCCCUGGGAUUCUAAGCCUCUAACCCUAUUACAGGGGCUGAGUCACUGGCUUACUGGGGCUCUCUCAUGCUGUCCCUGGAAGAGGUGCAUCACCUGAGUGGGUUGAUUCACUGAUGUGGUCAUCCUGUCUGGGUUGGCGCCCCCCCUUGGGUUGUGCCAUGGCGGAGAUCUUUGUGGGCUAUACUCAGCCUUGUCUCAGGAUGGUAAGUUGGUGGUUGAAGAUAUCCCUCUAGUGGUGUAGGUGCUGUGCUUUGGCAAAGUGGGUGGGGUUAUAUCCUUCCUGUUUGGCCCUGUCUGGGGGUGUCCUCGGAUGGGGCCACAGUGUCUCCUGACCCCUCCUGUCUCAGCCUCCAGUAUUUAUGCUGCAGUAGUUUAUGUGUCGGGGGGCUAGGGUCAGUUUGUUAUAUCUGGAGUACUUCUCCUGUCCUAUUCGGUGUCCUGUGUGAAUCUAAGUGUGCAUUCUCUAAUUCUCUCCUUCUCUCUUUCUUUCUCUCUCUCUAGGACCUGAGCCCUAGGACCAUGCCCAAGGACUACCUGACAUGAUGACUCCUUGCUGUCCCCAGUCCACCUGGCCGUGCUGCUGCUCCAGACCAGAUUACUAUUUUGAUGGAAAACCAAAUUUAGCUUCUUAGCCUAUGUCGUUAGAAAUUACUUAGAUUUCCUUCUUAAAAUGCUUGACAACGUAAUGGAUAAAGGGUUCAUAAAAUAAAUGUGGCAGCUCCUCUCUUGCUGCGAAAACAAAAUGUUGGGCUAGUUUUCAGGCUUCGUGAGCGGGUUUUGAUAGAUCAUUGAGCUAGAAAUUUCAACUGGACUUGGCAACCCUGACUAGGAGGUAUCUUUUAAAGUGAACGUAGCCUAUUACAGUUUUGUCUUUGUCGGACCUAAAUCUUUGUACGGCCUGGUCUCUAGUCUAGACAAAUAUGUAGAAUUUGAACUGUGACACUUGAGUUAUUAUUUUUGUCCCCAGUGUUGUGUUAUGUGUAUUUUGAAUGAAUAGAUAUGAAUUUUUAGUCAAUUGAAUCGGCUUAAGUGAGACACAAAGUGCAUUUAGUAGCAGAGAGGUUUCCAAACAAGCUCACCUGAAACAGAAAACGUCGGUAUUUCUGAAUUUCUUCAUGGUAAGAGAGGCCUACACGCAAGUGGCAACAAGUCUGUCAUUUACAUGCAUUUCAUCUAUCGUCAAUAUUUAACCUUCAUCUACAGGUGUGUGUUUAUUUAUUUUUUACAUCCACAGGUGUGUGCUGUCUGGCACUGGUCAAGUAGCCAUUGACUUCAGACUUUGACCCUGAACCUGUACUCCUGAGGUUCUCCAGGAUGGUAGGGUGAGGGGCUGACAUGAUGGAACAUGAUUGAGGGGGCACAAUAUCAGAUGUCACUUUUCCAUUUGGAGAGGUGGUGUCUGGCUGAGGAAGAAGUGGUAUCUCUGUGUCUGAUGAGGGAGAGGAGGCUUUCUAUGUGCCUGAAAGGAGACCCUCCCUGGACCUGGGAAAUGGCCUGAGACCCAUGUACACGGCGCAUGUCACGUGUCCACAGUAAUGUUUCCUGUGUGUGUUUAGUAGGCAUGAUGUGAAAAGGGCUCAAUCAUUGUCCAUGUGAUAUUCUAUGUACAGAGUCCAGCAGCAAAGAACAGAGUCUUACUCCAGCUGCUACUCUGUGGACAGUUGACUGUGAGACCAGAAACAGGAAGUCUCAAAGUUUCAUGCAGUGGAACUUCCUCCAAGACCAGAGCUGAUCAAAAACCCAGAUGAGAAGAGGCACCCAGCCCUGACUGUAGACUUCACCUUCAAGGAAGACACUGGGGAAGGAUGAUCUGAGGAAGUUUAAGAUCAUGCUGUGGAAGCGUUACCCAGAGUUGUUGUUGGGUGCUCCUCCCCAGGGCAUGGACAUGGUGACUUGGUGGACAGGCUGCUGGAGUAUUAUGACCUAGAGGUGGCCCUGCAGCUCACCAAGGCCCUGUCGAAGGACAUGGGCCUCAAGCGCCUGGCUGACUUCCCCAGGGACAUUUGCAAAAGAAGUAUGCACAUCUUCUUUAUUUUAUUUGAUGAAUGUAAUAUACACUGAGCAAAAAUAUCAACGCAACAUGUAAAGGGUUGGUGUCAUGUUUCAUAAGCUGAAAUAAAAGAUCCC